rnacentral:rRNA from 1 species
UACAGAGGUGGCAAGCGUUGUUCGGAAUUACUGGGCGUAAAGGGCGCGUAGGCGGCCUUCUAAGUCAGACGUGAAAUCCCCCGGCUUAACCUGGGAACUGCGUCUGAUACUGGAAGGCUUGAGUGCGGGAGAGGGAUGUGGAAUUCCAGGUGUAGCGGUGAAAUGCGUAGAUAUCUGGAGGAACACCGGCGGCGAAGGCGGCAUCCUGGACUGGUCCUGACACUCAUGAGCGAAAGCGUGGGGAGCGAGCCGG